GCCGGUCCUCGGUAGUGGCCCCCGGGCCAGCCCACGGGACGAGAUCCCCGGGCGCACCCGGGUGCUUCGAUCGAAGACCGGC
rfam:Streptomyces rubrolavendulae strain MJM4426, complete genome.